AAUUUUUGACAAUGGGCGCAAGCCUGAUCCAGCAAUGCCGCGUGCAGGAUGAAGGCCUUCGGGUUGUAAACUGCUCUUGUACGGAACGAAAAGCCCCGGGUUAAUACCCGGAGGUCAUGACGGUACCGUACGAAUAAGCACCGGCUAACUCCGUGCCAGCAGCCGCGGUAAUACGUAGGGUGCGAGCGUUAAUCGGAAUUACUGGGCGUAAAGCGUGCGCAGGCGGUUUUGUAAGACAGAGGUGAAAUCACCGGGCUCAACCUGGGAACUGCCUUUGUGACUGCAAGGCUAGAGUACGGCAGAGGGGGAUGGAAUUCCGCGUGUAGCAGUGAAAUGCGUAGAUAUGCGGAGGAACACCGAUGGCGAAGGCAAUCCCCUGGGCCUGUACUGACGCUCAUGCACGAAAGCGUGGGGAGCAAACAGG
rnacentral:rRNA from 1 species